rnacentral:rRNA from 1 species
UUAAAUUGAAGAGUUUGAUCAUGGCUCAGAUUGAACGCUGGCGGCAGGCCUAACACAUGCAAGUCGAACGGUAACAGAAAGCAGCUUGCUGCUUUGCUGACGAGUGGCGGACGGGUGAGUAAUGUCUGGGAAACUGCCUGAUGGAGGGGGAUAACUACUGGAAACGGUAGCUAAUACCGCAUAACGUCGCAAGACCAAAGAGGGGGACCUUCGGGCCUCUUGCCAUCGGAUGUGCCCAGAUGGGAUUAGCUUGUUGGUGGGGUAACGGCUCACCAAGGCGACGAUCCCUAGCUGGUCUGAGAGGAUGACCAGCCACACUGGAACUGAGACACGGUCCAGACUCCUACGGGAGGCAGCAGUGGGGAAUAUUGCACAAUGGGCGCAAGCCUGAUGCAGCCAUGCCGCGUGUAUGAAGAAGGCCUUCGGGUUGUAAAGUACUUUCAGCGGGGAGGAAGGGAGUAAAGUUAAUACCUUUGCUCAUUGACGUUACCCGCAGAAGAAGCACCGGCUAACUCCGUGCCAGCAGCCGCGGUAAUACGGAGGGUGCAAGCGUUAAUCGGAAUUACUGGGCGUAAAGCGCACGCAGGCGGUUUGUUAAGUCAGAUGUGAAAUCCCCGGGCUCAACCUGGGAACUGCAUCUGAUACUGGCAAGCUUGAGUCNNNNNNNNNNNNNNNNNNNNNNNNNNUAGCGGUGAAAUGCGUAGAGAUCUGGAGGAAUACCGGUGGCGAAGGCGGCCCCCUGGACGAAGACUGACGCUCAGGUGCGAAAGCGUGGGGAGCAAACAGGAUUAGAUACCCUGGUAGUCCACGCCGUAAACGAUGUCGACUUGGAGGUUGUGCCCUUGAGGCGUGGCUUCCGGAGCUAACGCGUUAAGUCGACCGCCUGGGGAGUACGGCCGCAAGGUUAAAACUCAAAUGAAUUGACGGGGGCCCGCACAAGCGGUGGAGCAUGUGGUUUAAUUCGAUGCAACGCGAAGAACCUUACCUGGUCUUGACAUCCACGGAAGUUUUCAGAGAUGAGAAUGUGCCUUCGGGAACCGUGAGACAGGUGCUGCAUGGCUGUCGUCAGCUCGUGUUGUGAAAUGUUGGGUUAAGUCCCGCAACGAGCGCAACCCUUAUCCUUUGUUGCCAGCGGUCCGGCCGGGAACUCAAAGGAGACUGCCAGUGAUAAACUGGAGGAAGGUGGGGAUGACGUCAAGUCAUCAUGGCCCUUACGACCAGGGCUACACACGUGCUACAAUGGCGCAUACAAAGAGAAGCGACCUCGCGAGAGCAAGCGGACCUCAUAAAGUGCGUCGUAGUCCGGAUUGGAGUCUGCAACUCGACUCCAUGAAGUCGGAAUCGCUAGUAAUCGUGGAUCAGAAUGCCACGGUGAAUACGUUCCCGGGCCUUGUACACACCGCCCGUCACACCAUGGGAGUGGGUUGCAAAAGAAGUAGGUAGCUUAACCUUCGGGAGGGCGCUUACCACUUUGUGAUUCAUGACUGGGGUGAAGUCGUAACAAGGUAACCGUAGGGGAACCUGCGGUUGGAUCACCUCCUUACCUUAAAGAAGC